UACGUAGGGGGCAAGCGUUGUCCGGAAUCAUUGGGCGUAAAGCGCGCGUAGGCGGCCCGGUAAGUCCGCUCUGAAAGUCCAGGGCUCAACCCUGGAAAGCGGGUGGAUACUGCCGGGCUAGAAUCCGGAAGAGGCGAGUGGAAUUCCUGGUGUAGCGGUGAAAUGCGUAGAUAUCUGGAGGAACACCGGUGGCGAAGGCGGCAUCCUGGACCAACACUGACACUGAGGAGCGAAAGCCAGGGGAGCAAACGGG
rnacentral:rRNA from 1 species